rnacentral:rRNA from 1 species
AGGUGCGGCACGAGCGCACCCUUAUCCUUUGUUGCCAGCACGUAAUGGUGGGAACUCAAAGGAGACUGCCGGUGAUAAACCGGAGGAAGGUGGGGAUGACGUCAAGUCAUCAUGGCCCUUACGAGUAGGGCUACACACGUGCUACAAUGGCAGAUACAAAGAGAAGCGACCUCGCGAGAGCAAGCGGAACUCAUAAAGUCUGUCGUAGUCCGGAUUGGAGUCUGCAACUCGACUCCAUGAAGUCGGAAUCGCUAGUAAUCGUAGAUCAAAAUGCUACGGUGAAUACGUUCCCGGGCCUUGUACACACCGCCCGUAA